CUCAUAAUCUUGUUUAUCACUGCACAAACUGGCUAUCACUGCAGUUUAAAAUAAUGAUAAUCCCUGAAUACAAAACAAGUACAAACAAAUUUUAUUUCAAUUUUCUCACAUUUAUUGCUCAGGCGAUAGACAAAUUACUACAUGCACCUGGGACAAAAACAGAAUCACAAGUAAAUAGGUCAGUCUUACCAUAGUUAAUAGAAUAGAUGGUUUGGAAACUCAUUAGAAUAACAAUAUAACUCAUUAUCUAUGUUAGUCAACGUUUAUUCAUAAAUCGUGUCGUUCACCGUCACGUGCGUAUUGUAUUUUUAACCAACAAACCAAUAGCAAUGUCUUAGGAAAGUUAGCUAUCCGUGACUCGAACAAUAGGGUAAAUUGGAAAUUGUUAUUGGUGGAUUUGGCAAAAAUACAAUACACACGUGACGGUGAAGGACCAGAUUUAUGAAUAAACGUUGACUAACAUAGAUAAUGAGUUAUAUUGUUAUUCUAAUGAGUUUCCAAACCAUCUAUCCUAUUCACUAUGGUCUUACACAGGUUUUAAUGCGUGCUAACGUAUGAUUCGGUGGAGAAUUUGGUAUUCAGGAAAGCGAGGCAAACUAUAAUAGAACUUCAGCAGUGAUCGCUCUGUUCAAAGGCAUCUGCAGGUUAUUGUGAAAACAGGUCAGGCAAUAAUGCUCUGAAUUGCAUUCCUUGUGAUACAAAUGACCUGUGAAAAAAAAUAACAGCAAUAUUACGGGAGUCGUAUUUGUGAUCUACAGGGUGUCCCAAAAACCCCCGAAAC